UACGUAGGGUCCGAGCGUUGCCCGGAAUUACUGGGCGUAAAGAGCUCGUAGGUGGUUUGUCGCGUUGUUCGUGAAAACUCACAGCUCAACUGUGGGCGUGCGGGCGAUACGGGCAGACUAGAGUACUGCAGGGGAGACUGGAAUUCCUGGUGUAGCGGUGGAAUGCGCAGAUAUCAGGAGGAACACCGGUGGCGAAGGCGGCACUCUGGGACGGUACUGACGCUGAGACGCGAAAGCGUGGGGAGCAAACAGG
rnacentral:rRNA from 1 species